CCGGGGGUAGCUUAGCGGACAGAGCGUAGCGAACUUACAUUUAGUUUGUUAUCCUCUGUUAUCCCCCUAACAAAAGCGAAACACACCUAAGAUGCCGGUUCCUAACCCUGGGUUCGAGUCCCAGUUCUCCCAGC